CCUCCUUUUCUUGGCGGGGGUCGGGCGUGCAGUCCCGAUCCGCGUAAUGUACGGAGGUAGAGGGAACGGGCUCUGGCCCCCUCGGCGUCAUGUCUUCAAUAAAGGCUCAUUUAACCCCCCUCAAAAAA